rnacentral:rRNA from 1 species
GACGUAGGGGGCAAGCGUUGUCCGGAUUUACUGGGCGUAAAGCGCGCGUAGGCGGCUUGUUAAGUGUAGAGUGAAAGCUCCGGGCUCAACUCGGAAAUUGCUCUGCAUACUGGCAGACUAGAGUGCGGUAGAGGAUGGUGGAAUUCCCGGUGUAGCGGUGAAAUGCGUAGAUAUCGGGAGGAACAUCAGUGGCGAAGGCGGCGACCUGGGCCAAUACUGACGCUGAGGUGCGAAAGCGUGGGGAGCAAACAGG